UUUCAAUCAUGCUCAUCCUGGACUGAUCCUACUGGCACAUGGAAACUUCCUGGCUGGGGCUGAAGAAGAGAAUUAACUCUUUCAGGCAAAGUGGAAACAUGAAGUUUUAUGAGAGAGAGAAGAAACCUUUGGUGGUGCACAGGGAUUUGAAUUCAGACUCUCCACAGCACCGGACAAUUGCGCAGUGUUGAAGUCUCAUGCUGGUCUGUAAAGCCAGGCCAGAAGAGGAACUGGGAAUAAUUAGGAUGGGAGAUUACAUCCAACUUACAGUUUGUGGAUUCUACCCCUGAAUUCUAUCCACAAAACCCUCAAGAUUCAAGAACCCUUGAUGCUGUCAUAUGGCCCCAGGAGUCAUCAGAUAUAAGCACCCUAAGAAGCUGUCCAGGGGUAGCAGGGAGACUCUGUCUUCAGUGAAGGAGGACACUUAAGGCUGAAGUGGCCCCAAGAACCACCCUCAUCAUCUGUCAAGCCCAGAUAUAACCAUUCUGUAUCCUCAGACCUCAAAGCCUUAAAGACUCUGUCUACCACGUACACCACCCACUUCAGCUAAACCUUUCACACUUGCACAGUCCACGCCAGCAUCUCAGCAUCCUGAGGGUGGCACCCAGUAACAAAGAAAAUCAGCAAAGCACACAGCUGGCUAAGGUGAUGCACAGACCAGAAACCCUUGACAAGGACAACCGUGACAUUCGUUGAGCCAUAGCAUCUGGUACUGCAGUUUGGGAUAUGGCAGAUCAAAGCCCAGAAACCUCCUUCCAACCCCUUCUGAGGAAUCCUAGAGAUCUCCAGAAGCACCCUGUCAGUUGGUAAAAGACUCCAGACAUAAAGGACUUGGUAAAGAGCCACACCCAGCUCCCUUCCUCCUCCGUGUAAACCCUCAGCCUGCUUUUCACUAGACCCACUGCCCAGCUUUGUGCAAAACCUGGACACUGCUCAUCUCUGUGGCUGGGUGAGUGCCACCUCCUGGGGAGUAUGAGAGAAUAAAGAACAAGAGGAGC
rnacentral:lncRNA from 10 species